GAUGAACGCUAACUACAGGCUUAACACAUGCAAGUCGAGGGGAAACGACAUCGAAAGCUUGCUUUUGAUGGGCGUCGACCGGCGCACGGGUGAGUAACGCGUAUCCAACCUGCCCACCACUUGGGGAUAACCUUGCGAAAGUAAGACUAAUACCCAAUGAUAUCCCACGAAGACAUCUGAAUGGGAUUAAAGAUUUAUCGGUGAUGGAUGGGGAUGCGUCUGAUUAGCUUGUUGGCGGGGUAACGGCCCACCAAGGCAACGAUCAGUAGGGGUUCUGAGAGGAAGGUCCCCCACAUUGGAACUGAGACACGGUCCAAACUCCUACGGGAGGCAGCAGUGAGGAAUAUUGGUCAAUGGGCGAGAGCCUGAACCAGCCAAGUAGCGUGCAGGAAGACGGCCCUAUGGGUUGUAAACUGCUUUUAUAAGGGAAUAAAGUGGGUCACGUGUGACUUUUUGCAUGUACCUUAUGAAUAAGGACCGGCUAAUUCCGUG
rnacentral:rRNA from 1 species